rnacentral:rRNA from 1 species
GUCUACAGCCAUGCCACCCUGAACACGCCCGAUCCCGUCUGAUUUCGGAAGCUAAACAGGGUCGAACCUGGUUAGUACUUGGAUGGGAGACCACCUAGGAAUACCGGGUGCUGUAGGCG